GAAUUCGUCGACAACAGAGUUUGAUCCUGGCUCAGAACGAACGCUGGCGGCAUGCCUAACACAUGCAAGUCGAACGCUUCCGGGGCUUCGGUCCCGGGGGAGUGGCGCACGGGUGAGUAGCGCGUGGGAACCUGCCCUCUUGUGGGGGAUAACCGAGGGAAACUUCGGCUAAUACCGCAUGCGCCCGGGGAAACCCGGGGAAAGAUUGAUCGCAGGAGGAGGGGCCCGCGUCGGAUUAGCUGGUUGGUGGGGUAACGGCCUACCAAGGCGAUGAUCCGUAGCUGGUCUGAGAGGAUGAUCAGCCACACUGGGACUGAGACACGGCCCAGACUCCUACGGGAGGCAGCAGUGGGGAAUAUUGGACAAUGGGCGCAAGCCUGAUCCAGCAAUGCCGCGUGAGUGAUGAAGGCCUUAGGGUUGUAAAGCUCUUUCGCCCGCGACGAUGAUGACGGUAGCGGGAGAAGAAGCCCCGGCUAACUUCGUGCCAGCAGCCGCGGUAAUACGAAGGGGGCGAGCGUUGUUCGGAAUUACUGGGCGUAAAGGGCGCGUAGGCGGCCCCUUUUGUCGCGUGUGAAAGCCCCGGGCUCAACCUGGGAACGGCGCGCGAAACGGGGGGGCUGGAGUUCGGGAGAGGAGAGUG
rnacentral:rRNA from 1 species